rnacentral:misc_RNA from 1 species
UCCCUAUUACUAGAGCAGUCUGAAUAGAAAAAUACAACUAUUCACAAGGGUUGCGCUCGUUGAAGGACUUAACCUAACAUCUCACGACACGAGCUGACGACGGCCAUGCAACACCUGUCACAGGAUUCCAAAAGGCACACUCUACUUUCGUAGUGCUUUCCUGGAUGUCAAACCCUGGUAAGGUUUAUCGGUUAUCAUCGAAUUAAAGAACAUAAUCCACCGCUUGUGCUGAUCCCCGUCAAUUCCUUUAUGUUUUAGUCUUGCGACCGUACUCCACAGGCGGGAUACUUAACGCGUUAGCUUCGCUACUGAAGGGGUCGAUACCUCCAACAGCUAGUAUCCAUCGUUUACGGCGUGGACUAC